UUCUCGUACGAUCACUGAAGUUAAGCAACGUCGAGCCCGGUCAGUAACUAGAUUGGUGACCGUUUGGGAAUAUCAGGUGCUGUAAU